AAUACUCUGCUAGUCUCUGCUAAAAAUAAAUUUAUAUAAAUAUAUUAAGCUUUGGAGCAAUCAAGCGAAACUGGCGGGUAUCAUAAUAGAGGAAUCAAUUUCAGACUCCUUUAGGAGGUGCUGAGCGAAAGAUUCGCAAAUACCAAUAAUUCCAGAUGAGCGGCCUAAAACAAGCAACUUUUUAUCAAGAACCUAAUUUACGAAAAUUCUGUAAAAUUGUAAAAAAAAAAGCAAAGUAGACAUGUUUUAUUGGAAUCAGGAGGGGGAAAAGGAAGUCAAGGCUGAUAUAAACCCGAUUUGCCAUUUGAAGCGGAAGUGACCCUUGAAGUUUGAUUUUGUUUGUGCGGCCAUUGCCAACAAGAUUUUCCUGCGGCCAGGACUCCAAUAUCCUCGCCUCGUAGAUUCCAUGCAAUUUCCUGUUUGGCUGUGGACGAAGUCUGAAAGACAGGCGGCGUACAAGGAAAAAAAUAUAAAAAGGAAAAGCGCCAUCGCCAAGCUCUAGGAGCUCAAGGAGCAAACUCAACGCUGUUGGUUGCCUAUUUUUAGCAUUUUGGCCAUAUCCCAUGGAAUUCAAUGUCAACAACACAGUCGGGAAUCCGUCGGGGGUCGGAGAGAGUAUGGAGGCCGGAUAUGGCAGGGGAUCGGGAUCACAGGCGGGUGUGGAUUCGAGGUCGGAAGCGCCGGAGUUGUCAUCCUUGAGUGCCAACUUGAACAUAAACAGCACCACAGUGCUCCGUCAUCGGUCAUCCGAUUAGGGGACUUCUAACCAAGCUGCAGCACUUCUUAACGGUUUUUGUAAUUGAACUUGUUCCUGUCAGCAAUUAAAAGAGUCAUUAUUCAUGGGGGCUAGUGUGUGUAAUAGAGACUCGUAAUAGAG